UACGUAGGGUCCGAGCGUUGUCCGGAAUUAUUGGGCGUAAGGGCUUGUAGGCGGUCCGUCGCGUCAGAAGUGAAAACUCAGGGCUUUAACCCUGAGCCUGCUUUUGAUACGGGCGGACUAGAGGGAUGCAGGGGGAGAACGGAAUUCCUGGUGGAGCGGUGGAAUGCGCAGAUAUCAGGAGGAACACCGGUGGCGAAGGC
rnacentral:rRNA from 1 species